GACGAACGCUGGCGGCGUGCUUAACACAUGCAAGUCGAACGGAAAGGCCCUGCUUUUGUGGGGUGCUCGAGUGGCGAACGGGUGAGUAACACGUGAGUAACCUGCCCUUGACUUUGGGAUAACUUCAGGAAACUGGGGCUAAUACCGGAUAGGAGCUCCUGCUGCAUGGUGGGGGUUGGAAAGUUUCGGCGGUUGGGGAUGGACUCGCGGCUUAUCAGCUUGUUGGUGGGGUAGUGGCUUACCAAGGCUUUGACGGGUAGCCGGCCUGAGAGGGUGACCGGCCACAAUGGGACUGAGAUACCGCCCAGACUGCUACCGGAGGCAGGAGGGGGGAAUAAUGGCCCAAGGGCGGAAGCCUGAUGCAGCAACGCCGCGUGCGGGAUGACGGCCUUCGGGUUGUAAACCGCUUUCGCCUGUGACGAAGCGUGAGUGACGGUAAUGGGUAAAGAAGCACCGGCUAACUACGUG
rnacentral:rRNA from 1 species